UAUGCUUCCUUUGGUGAUCUCUCAGGGAACUUCAAGACCGGCUCAAUAUAAUGUGUAGCUGGCUGAGAUUGGUUUCUCUCCUGAUGACUUGCAGUACCUCAUCCAUUCUCUCUCGUAUGUCAACCAACGGAGCACAAGUUCAACCUCAAUUGUGGAUCUAGUACGAUACGCUCAUCUCGCCGCAGCUCGAUUUGGGCAAUUAGUAAAUUGGAACAUAUGUCUGGCCAGAAAGUUCAGGUGCUUCCGUGUUUGCACAAGAGGGUCUAAAGCAAUAUGUUCUUCUGCUGAGUAAAUAACUAA